rnacentral:lncRNA from 1 species
GACAUGUAUGUUUUCUAUAAAUGGGUUCUCUGUUAAAGCGAGGCUUGUUGUUACUCCAGAUUCUCAGACUGACUAUGAAACAUCCUGCUUGUGAAGACACAGAUGCUGAAACCCAUCAUAACAAUGGAGGAUUGUGGGCCACCAUACUGACAUUGCCUGGUGUUCUAAGGUUUGCUUCCUGGCUUGAUGGAUGAAGCUUUAGCAAUCUCAAAAAUGGACUCGUUUCCUUCCUGUUUGGUGUCUCCUGUGCUUGCUGUUUCUGUUUGGAGGUCAUUGCAUGUGUCUGAUUGAGCAACUGUCAUUGUGCAUUUCUGUUUGCAGUGCUUUGCUUAAAUUUUGAACCCUUAGCAAUAAUAAAAGUCUUUGGAGUUUUCCAUUUGGGUUGUGGUUGUACAUGUUUUCCUUGAUUUAAUAUCCUUAUGGAUAUGUGCUAUGCAACGAUUUAUUUCACACUAAAAAAUGA